GUUUAGCAUGGCAGAGUGGCUUAUAGCGCCCGUCUCCAAAACGGGUGAGGGUAAAUCCUCCGCGGGUUCGAAUCCUGCUGCUACCU
rnacentral:tRNA from 1 species